rnacentral:lncRNA from 1 species
CAGGAGGAAACCCACUUCCAGGCCCUGCCCUGGGCUCCAAGGACCACACUGGCUCCAACAGCCAAAGUGCUGGGAGAAACCUGGCCUCUGAGAAAGAAAGGCAGCAAGCACAAUGUUUUAUUAGUGCUCCAGACAUUUAUUUCCUGAGUUAACAACAAUAAUAAACUCGUUUACAGCUGUGAGUUUCAUUGCCUCCCCAUGGGGCGCCCACCUGCUGCCACCCACUGUCGGCGUGUUUGCGGCUCGGAGCACAGAGGGCAGCCUGGCAGCUGGCACAGGGCUGAUUACUGGAUUCCUAAAUGGGGAAAGAAAGCUCUGGGGAACAGGGUCUCUGGCCCUCCAGGGAUUUCACCACAGGAUUCUGACUGCUGCCAUUUUAGAGUUCUGGUUCUAUCAGGAACAGAGUUUGAAUUAAACAGCAAUUGCUCUUUAACGACCUUGGAGCACCUUUUGCCACAAGUGUAUGGACCAAUACAGCCCAGAGAGGACAGCUGUUGUGAUGUCUGUUCACUGCAGUGUCUGUGAUGCCCAAGCCAGCACUUGGACAUCCUUGAUGCUCAACUAUCUUCUAAGCACUCGGAGGCAGAUUUGGG